rnacentral:rRNA from 1 species
CAAGCUUUACUAUCCCGAAAAGCUUGGAUAUUAAUUACCAACUCGGAUAGUUUGUGUGCCCAAGUGCUCAAAGCAAGAUAUUAUCCUAAUGGAAGACUAGAAGAUACAAUUUUUGCGGGUAAUGUGUCGUCCUCAUGGCAAGCUAUAAGCUAUGGUAUGGAAUUACUAAAAAAGGGUUUGGUAUGGAGAGUUGGUAAUGGAAAAAGUAUACUGAUCUGGAGAGAUAGUCGGAUUCCGAGGCCUCACUCAUAUAAACCCUUCUCCCCACAAGGUAUAUGUAGGAUUAGAUUUGUCUCAGGAUUAUUGAACGAGAAUGGGAAUUGGAAUUACGCAUUGUUGAUGAAGUUUUUUGCUAUGGACGAUGUAUCAGAGAUUAUGAAAACCAAGGAUUCACCAAGUUUAGAGGAUGUGUAA